AUUGAACGCUGGCGGCAGGCCUAACACAUGCAAGUCGAACGAGUGGCGGACGGGUGAGUAAUGUCUGGGAAACUGCCUGAUGGAGGGGGAUAACUACUGGAAACGGUAGCUAAUACCGCAUACCAUCGGAUGUGCCCAGAUGGGAUUAGUUGGUAGGUGGGGUAACGGCUCACCUGGGCGACGAUCCCUAGCUGGUCUGAGAGGAUGACCAGCCACACGGGAACUGAGACACGGUCCAGACUCCUGCGGGAGGCAGCAGUGGGGAAUAUUGCCCAAUGGGGGCAAGCCUGAUGCAGCCAUGCCGCGUGUAUGAAGAAGGCCUUCGGGUGGUAAAGUACUUUCAGCGGGGAGGCGUUACCCGCAGAAGAAGCACCGGCUAACUCCGUGCCAGCAGCCGCGGUAAUUC
rnacentral:rRNA from 1 species